CAUCAAGUUUCCAUGGCAACAACUUCUUAUCUCAUUUGCAUCUUCAGCUUUCAAUAUGUACUCAUGCCAAAUAUGGUCAACUUCUUACAUUCGCCACCCCUUUCUGGAUCCCCUUUUCAUAACUUCCCUUUUCUUUGCAUUUGCACAACUGUGUUUGACACACGUGGUGAGACAUGCAUAUGUACUGAUUAACAAAGCCACAGUAUGUAAAAGAAAUUUACUGAAAUAAACUUUAUUGGUGUCAACAGAAUAAAGAGGUGAAACAAUAGAGAGAAUUCUAAAUAUAUUGCAGUCUAGUUCUGCUUCCAGUAUUUACAGCACAUUUUAAAAACACCUCCCUUCCAGUUAGAGCAAAAAAUAUACAUAGAAAUUUUAAUAGUUAGCUUGACAAAAAAGGUUUUAUAGGGAUGCCACCCUUUGGAGAAAAAAAAGAUUGAAUGCACACAUAAAGGAUUCUGCAUGUAUAAACUGUGCAUGUGAGGGUGGGAAAAGAGGAAGAGCGUUUGACACUGCAGAGCAGUUUGUAAGCUGAGAUAUCAAGAAGUAAAACAACUUAUUAAACCAGGAAGCAGGAACUUGUAUUAGGACUCCCUUGCAUAUUCACUGGGCUUCACUUAACCCCUAGCUCUUCAUCAUUUCAGCAUUUGCUAACCUUCAAACCUUCUGCCCCCCUCAAACGACUGUGUCUAUCAAACUAUCAAUGGAAUGUCGAAGUAGGCCUCUCGGGCCCACACACGCAGCAAGACUCAGCAACACUCAGCACCUGUCUCCAACUGCCAGCAAAGAGAAAGGCAGUCAAUCAGACGGGACAACACCACCAAGGGAAAAGGGCACAGAAGUAGGAGGAAGACAACCAGCAUUUUAUUAGGAAAGCACUUAAAAAAAGGUGGCGUGGUGCAGAGGAUGGAAACUUCCAGCAUCUUCUUCAAGCAUCACUGGUACAAGCCUCAACCUCUCUGCCACACCCUGCAGAGAAGGAGCCAAUUCUAAUAAAUGGUUUGAAAUAAUGACAGAUGGAGGAUUAAAAUAAAGUAUUGCUAUUCA